rnacentral:tmRNA from 1 species
GGGGGUGAUUGGCUUCGACAGGAAGAGUGAGGUCCUAGGUGCAUGCCAAGCUGAGACAACUUGUAAAACUGUUUCAAAAAAUAGUCGCAAACGACGAAACCUACGCUGUCGCAGCUUAAAAAACUGUAAGACAACCCUCACGUGCAAACUUGCCGGUGACUUUGCAUACUGAGGAUCCCCUCAGUGCGAGAUCAAAGGCAUACUAAGCAUGUAGUACCGAAGAUUGAUCCUUUUUGGACGCGGGUUCAAUUCCCGCCACCUCCACCA